AACGAACGCUGGCGGCAGGCCUAACACAUGCAAGUCGAGCGAGGACUUCGGUUCUAGCGGCGGACGGGUGAGUAACGCGUGGGAAUGUGCCCUUCUCUACGGAAUAGCCCUGGGAAACUGGGAGUAAUACCGUAUACGCCCUAUUGGGGAAAGAUUUAUCGGAGAAGGAUCAGCCCGCGUUGGAUUAGGUAGUUGGUGGGGUAAUGGCCUACCAAGCCGACGAUCCAUAGCUGGUUUGAGAGGAUGAUCAGCCACACUGGGACCGAGACACGGCCCAGACUCCUACGGGAGGCAGCAGUGGGGAAUCUUAGACAAUGGGGGCAACCCUGAUCUAGCCAUGCCGCGUGAGUGAUGAAGGCCUUAGGGUUGUAAAGCUCUUUCAGCUGGGAAGAUAAUGACGGUACCAGCAGAAGAAGCCCCGGCUAACUCCGUG
rnacentral:rRNA from 1 species